CAAAAUUUUAUUUUUGGUUUUAGUGAAGUUUUAAAAAUUCUGUGUAUCAUUUUGCAUGUGUACUUGUGUAACUGAUGCUUUGAUAUGGAAGAAUAGGAAUAUUACUAGAUGAUUAAUAUCCAUAUUUAAGAUGAAAUUAGUAAAAGAAUGAGUUAAUGAAAUACACAUAAAUCAGAUAUUAAGGAACUGGAUCACAUUAGUCUUUCUUGUUCUCCUUAGUUUAUAUUCAUAAAAUGUUUACCUAAAUUAAGAAGCAACAUAUUAUAAUAGAGCUUUAGACUUGAAGUUAACUAUCAUGAAGCACUAAUUUAGCUUUUGCCAUGUAGUAUUUGGUUGUGUAAACUUGGAUACACCAAGUAAUAUCUUUGGACCUUAUUUCAUGUGUGAAACUUACAUGCAAUCUGUCAAAUAUAAAUUGAGAUGUGGAGGAUCUUGUUUGUUUUCCAAAGUUCUGUACACUAAAAUCUCCUUUUCUCUUUCUUUUCAGCCAAGCCAGCACCUUUAGAAAUAAAACCUUUGGCAGAAUGGGAAGAAUUACAAGCUCCAGUUAGAUCUCCCAUCACUAGGAGUUUUGCUCGAGAUUCCUCUAGGUUUCCCAUUUCCCCCCGGCCAGAUUCAGUGCAUAGCACAACAUCAAGCAGUGACUCACACGACAGCGAAGAGAACUAUGUUCCCAUGAACCCAAACCUGUCCAGUGAAGAUCCAAAUCUUUUUGGCAGUAAUAGCCUGGAUGGAGGAAGCAGUCCUAUGAUCAAGCCCAAAGGAGACAAACAAGUGGAAUACUUGGAUCUAGAUUUAGAUUCUGGGAAAUCCACACCACCACGUAAGCAAAAGAGCAGUGGCUCUGGCAGCAGUGUGGCCGAUGAGAGAGUGGACUAUGUCGUGGUGGACCAGCAGAAGACCCUGGCUCUGAAGAGUACCCGGGAGGCCUGGACAGAUGGCAGACAGUCCACGGAAUCUGAGACACCAACCAAGAGCGUGAAGUGAAAACACUGCUUUGCCAUUUCCGGGCAGAAGUGAACUGAAUCAUGGAGAUAAACCCUGCUUGAAGCCAUCUCGACACUUCUGCUCUUAAUUAGAUCAUCCAGUGAGCAGAGUUGAAAUCAAAGGGCCUUUCGGACAUAAACAAAUUUGGACUGAAAAUGGUGCUUCGUGGUUUCUGAACAAUUUGUAACAUGUAAAUACUGUGGGAAAAUAGUAUUGUGUAGCUCCCAGAAAAACAUUUGUCUCAUAGUUAACACACUUGUAGUAUUACUGUAUUUAUGCACUUUUCAUUUAAAACAUUGGUUUGGGUAUUCCCAAUGUACCUUAACAGAAUUCCCUGGGGAGUUCUUGUUUUUCCUCACACUACUCUAUAUAACGAUACUAAGUUAACUAAGCUACUUUUAGAUCUGGACAUUGCUGUUUAAUCUACAGUCUAACAACAUGAGAAGUAGAUUCAUAAGUUAGCCGUCUCCCUGAAGCUUCAGGUCGUAAUUAUUAGCUUAAACUGGGCUAUAAUUCGAUUCAUCUUUUUACCUUCCGAAAUGCAGACGAUAAUGUAUAUACAGGUGUCAGAAUCUAGUUCUUUGCUUCAUGUUCAUUUAGUUUUUAAUGGUAGAUCUUUGUUAUGUUUUGUUAAUUACAGUGUUUUUGGUUCAUUGAGUGAAGAUUCUGCAGGGUGGGAUCUUGCACCUUUGAAAGACUGAAUGUAAUUACACUAUCACGUAAGCCUGGAAAUUGUUGAUGGCAUGUAGUGAUGAUGUGCUCUUACACUUGCUAACAUGUAUUAAACGUUAUUUAGAAAAGGUGGAUUAUGUAAUAAUCAGGUACGUACCUGGCACUAAUGUGCUAACACACUGAUCAGGUUUAGACAGUGAGUUUUAGUCGUGUAUUCAUUAGCCCUAGUGUUGGUUUCCAGUUUAGAAUUAAGGAAACAAUUGACAUCUGCUCUUAGUAACAGUAACAUACUGUGAUUUUUUAAUUAAACAGUAAUUCAGAUUUAUUACUCUUAAGAAUGAAAUUCUGUCUUUUGACACCAUAGUGCCCUUUCUAUGAUUUUUUUUUUUUUUUUACUCAAUAUUCUUCUUGGCCUUAGAUUUAAAUCCCUAUGCAAUUAAUGUUUUAUAUCUGCAUUUUUUAAAAAAAAAUAGAUGUUAUAUAAGUGAUUCUCAUAUGUAGCACCUAUUGUUUUUCCAGUAAAAAAAUUGAAGAUUUUGUAAUGUGAUUUGUAUUCACUGCCCCAAUUGACAAAGUAGUGGAGUCUUGCUAUAAUAUGAAACCUUACAGUCAUGGACCCCUUCCAAUCAGAUUUCUGAAAUUCAGAAGACUGGUAUAAAACUGUGAUGUGGAUAUCAAAACUACAAAUUAUAGUGAGGCUACAAUUAUACUUAUCUAUCUUGGCUUUGCAACAUAACUUAGAAAGCAGGUAUAGUUUGGUUUUUUAACCUAAGUUAUGUACAGUCUCUUAUGUAUUGAUUUGAGACUUACUAACAGACUUUGGGGGCAUAGAUAUAAGAAUGCCACUGCAGAGACAAGACCUCUCCUUUCAGACCUCUUAACUGGUGCCUAAGUAAACAGAUGUGUCCUGAUUUCUAGCCCAUUGGCUGUAAUACUAUGCUAGAUUAAUGUCCUAGGUUUAUUUCUCCAGUCCACAAACUAAGUGUUCAUAACGAGAUGAAUUGUAGACUAGUAAUGUUUGAUGCUUUUAAAUGUUUGCUUCUUAAAAACAAAACAAAAAAACUAAAACCCACAACUGAAUUUUGAGGUGGAUGUUUCAAUAAAAGAGAUUGUUUGAGUUUGGUGUGGAAGCUGUUUUGUAAUAAAACCAAAAAACAAAAUCUAAAAAUCACUGACACGUGCCUGAACUAUCAAAACACAACACAGUUGGUGUGUAACAAUACUAAAUUGUGUUACCUGGAGGAUGUACAUAUUUUGAAAUUUAAAACACAGUAAUAAACAUUUGAUUAAUUCAGAAAUUUUAAAAAAUUAUCUUUAAAGCUGCCUGUUGGGAAAGUCCAAAGCAAUUUUGUCUGUUUUGAAGUGUAAUUUCUCCUUAACUUUUUACAAGUUACUGUUUUUGUAGACCUACAGUACUAAUUUUUAGAGAUCUUACCAUUGUGUUGAAUGUUUAAGAAUCGAUGGGCUGAGUAUGUACCUCAGUCAAAGGUAGAAUGCAAGCUUAGCCUGUGAAAGGCCCUGGGCUCAAUCCUAAGCACUACGCCCACCAAAAAAAGGAAAAGAAUUAAGAAAGGUGGCUUGCUUUAGAAAACUAAAGCACAUUAAAGAUUGUAAUAACAAAUUAAAAGGCAGUUUCAUAGAAAACAGUAUUUUUAAAUUUUUAUGUGUUCCUCCAGUACAUAUUGCCUAAAAAUAUAAUGUAUUUUGAGUUUCCAUGUGUAUUUUAGUUCAUUACUAUGAAUAAUAAGAUUUCUGAAUUAUUUCUAAAUAAUGUGUAUUUGGAGUUACAGUUGAUAAAAACUCAGCAGCCAGUUUAUUUCUCUGCCUUGACUUAUUUAAGGGAGGUGGAAAAAAACUGAUUUACACAAACAUAAGUACAAAUAAGAGCAGAUUUUAAACUAACUUUCCUGGAGAGUCUUUACUGAGAGGUAGCUGAAAUUAUAUUUCAAGGCUUAUAUCAAGUGUAUUACCUUGCUAGUGGAACUUAAUACAUAUACAGUUUGCAGUGUGGUAAAAUGUACCUUUUAUUAAGUUCUUAAAUAUGCACUUAAACUAAAUUUGAAUCGUAUCCUUUUUUUUUGGUACCGGGGAUCAAACUCGGGACCUUGUGCUUAUGCAGCUGGCGCCGGAACCACUGAGCUAAAUCCCCAGCCCUGAAUCAUAUCCUUUUUAAAAAAUCAUAUCCUUAACCCUAACUCAACUUCAAGAAGCUAGAUUCCAGCAAGGCAUGGCAUGAAAACCACUGGUGAAUCAUGUGACUGUUAGGAUAUUAUGUAUCAGAAAUCUUUUUCUUUCACACCUUUUGUUAUUUUAUAACACUCUAAGAUCUUAAGGUUUCAAUGCCAAAGCACAGUUCUGCUUUUAAAAGUCAAAAUUUAGACUUGAAAAAUUUAAGCUACUUAGCUCACAGAAGAUAUCACUCAGUAAGCUACAAAAAAUAUUUUUAAUCUAUAUAAUUUUACUGUGAACACUAGAAAAUUCUAUAAAGGUACUAAGUGUGUGUGUGUGUGCACACGCGUGCACAGAAAGCAUCAUAUUUAAUCACAGACUAAAUUUAAUUUGAUAUAGAAAUACUGUGUGCAUUAUGGUCAUAAUUUCUUCUGGACUUCUUAUAUUUAAUUAAUGGAGCUUACAAUUUUCCGCUUCAUAAGUGCGUUUAAAGUGGAAAUUGAACAUCGACGUAGUGGGGAAGUUGUCUGUCUUUCCCUGUUGGAGAAAAAGUAUUUUUUAUGUUUUGCUAAAAUACAAACUAUUUUAUGCUUGCAGACUCUUCCUUAGACCCUGGUCAUACCUGUUGGCUGCUCGCAGACACCUUUCAUGCCUCCUGCUUUUGGUCCAUUCAAAGACAGGCCUCAGAUUUUGAAUGAGUACCAGCCUUUGACAGUUCAUGCCGCCGUUGACUGCUUUUUGUGUUCCUCUCUUCCGGCCCUUCUGCCAGAUCUUAUCCUUCACUGUCGGGUAAAUUGGGUCAGUGCAAAGGAUUGUCCUAUGCUCGAGUCACCUGGGUACAUAGACUAUGAAGACCUCUACCCUACUGUAAUUACUCUCAGUAACAUCCGGUGUCCUGUAAAUUUUUAUAUAAUUUAAAAAACUGAACUAUGUGAUGAAAAGCCAUGAUGGGAACAAAUAUUGUGGCCAUUAAGAUAAAAAUGAGUUGUCAGAUCAUUUAGAUUGUCUUCUCUUCCAUAGACCCCUUUAGGUUCAAUAUCAUCUCUGCGUUUCAAUGAACUAAUUAAGGGAUUAGCAUAGUUUGUGCCUCCUUUACAUAAAGACAUUUUGUGUGAGCUCUGAUAACCUAAAUCAAUUGUUGAUAAUCCAAAUUUUAACAGCAAAAUCAUAUGUAAAAUUUUAUUUUUCUCCUUCUGCGUAUCUUUUGUAAAGAUCUCAUUGUAGAUAUUUUCUGGUACCAAAUAAAAGUUUUCAAACAGUUUGGUUUCAAGACCUUUAAAUAGACAGUUUGGAUACUGAGAUUUUGAAAUAAGGACAUAUAAACAUAUUUAGAGAUAUUUAAUAAGAAUAUAUAAAUGCGUAUUUCCAGCCCAUCCUUAAAAUCUUUUAUUUUUAUUAGCACAUGUUUGCAGUACAUAAUGAUUUCAUUCAUCGUGGAGAGUUGGUAAUUGUACAUAGCACAUCUUAAUUCUUUUUUUCAUCCCCUUCCCUCUCUGCUCCCUGCAUUGCUUGGGCCCCUUCCCAUUUGCAAAGAUCUGUCUCCCCGUU
rnacentral:lncRNA from 1 species